rnacentral:rRNA from 1 species
ACCCAGCUUCCAGGAAGAGCCUCUAAGUUUCAGUCAUAGAGUGACCGUACCGCAAACCGACACAGGUGGGCUGGUAGAGAAUACCAAGGCGCUUGAGAGAACUCAGGAGAAGGAACUCGGCAAAUUGAUACCGUAACUUCGGGAGAAGGUAUGCCCCUGGUACGUGAAGGCCCUUGCGGCCGGAGCGGAACGGGGUCGCAGAGAAUCGGUGGCUGCGACUGUUUAUUAAAAACACAGCACUCUGCAAACACGAAGGUGGACGUAUAGGGUGUGACGCCUGCCCGGUGCCGGAGGGUUAAGUGAUGGGGUGCAAGCUCUUGAUCGAAGCCCCGGUAAACGGCGGCCGUAACGAUAACGGUCCUAAGGUAGCGAAAUUCCUUGUCGGGUAAGUUCCGACCUGCACGAAUGGCGUAACGAUGGCCACACUGUCUCCUCCUGAGACUCAGCGAAGUUGAAAUGUUUGUGAAGAUGCAAUCUCCCCGCGGCUAGACGGAAAGACCCCAUGAACCUUUACUGUAGCUUUGCAUUGGACUUUGACGGGACUUGUGUAGGAUAGGUGGGAGGCUAUGAAACCGGGACGCCAGUUCCGGUGGAGCCAUCCUUGAAAUACCACCCUGGUGUCGUCGAGGUUCUAACCCAGGCCUGUGAAUCCAGGUCGGGGACCGUGCAUGGUGGGCAGUUUGACUGGGGCGGUCUCCUCCCAAAAGGUAACGGAGGAGUACGAAGGUCACCUAGGUACGGUCGGACAUCGUACUGAUAGUGCAAUGGCAAAAGGUGGCUUGACUGCGAGACCCACACGUCGAGCAGGUGCGAAAGCAGGUCAUAGUGAUCCGGUGGUUCUGUAUGGAAGGGCCAUCGCUCAACGGAUAAAAGGUACUCUGGGGAUAACAGGCUGAUUCCGCCCAAGAGUUCACAUCGACGGCGGAGUUUGGCACCUCGAUGUCGGCUCAUCACAUCCUGGGGCUGUAGCCGGUCCCAAGGGUAUGGCUGUUCGCCAUUUAAAGUGGUACGUGAGCUGGGUUUAAAACGUCGUGAGACAGUUUGGUCCCUAUCUGCCGUGGGCGCUGGAAGUUUGAGAGGGCCUGCUCCUAGUACGAGAGGACCGGAGUGGACGCACCCCUGGUGUACCGGUUGUGACGCCAGUCGCAUCGCCGGGUAGCUAUGUGCGGAAGAGAUAACCGCUGAAAGCAUCUAAGCGGGAAACUCGCCUCAAGAUGAGACUUCCCCGGGGCCUCGAGCCCCCUGAAGGGUCGUUGAAGACCACAACGUUGAUAGGCCGGGUGUGUAAGCGUGGCAACACGUUCAGCUAACCGGUACUAAUUGCCCGUGUGGCUUGAUCCU